AGUGUUCCUGCUGCCAGAAUUGGAUCCAACCCAUUGUUCCAGACAAGAUCAGGGCAACUAGUAUGGAAAACAUAACCUCAAGUAUCUUUGAUGUAAUCUCCAAGGGAAAAGUUGCUCCAACUUUUUCUUACUAGGAGGAAGCUGAGGCACAGGGAGCUGAAUAACUUGAUCCAGGCCAGGCAGGCAUUUGCUUAGAGCAGGCUGUGUGCGAGCCCAGCGUCAAGUGAUUCCGGCCUCCUCGAGUCAGCGGUGGUGGGAUGAGGCUCUGCCGAGGGGACUGGCUGUGAAGGAUGAGUUCAGGGUGGGAUGACGGACCGCUUCUGGGACCAGUGGUAUCUCUGGUAUCUCCGCUUGCUCCGGCUGCUGGAUCGAGCUUUGGCUUCUUUAAGAGGUUUUGGCAAGAAUGAGAUCAAACUCCUGAUGGAAAAGAUGGCCCUGGGGAAGCCUUGCUAUACAGCCCAAGGUGUAUUCAUCUCUAUGAGGAAUAGUCUUGGUGUGCCGGGAGAUCAAUACCAGGUGGAAGCAGACAGCUGCACAGAGCAGGUGAAACAGGGCCCUUAUCAGGGGAGAAAUCAAAGAUGGAGGAAACCAAACCAGCACACACUAAAAGCAGUUUCUCACUAUCACCGAGAAACAGGCCAGUGGGAGCCCAGACUUGAGAUGAGGGCGUUAAGAAGGGCAUCAGAACUUCACACUGAUGAAGAUUAUAGACUGGGAGAAGGGAGAAGAGACCACUAGAUGUGAAUCCUCCUUAUCUUUGUGACCUCAGAAAUGCUUGAAUCCAUGAGUCACAAACUUAGGCUCAAGUUCUGGCUCCAUUGCCUUCUAAGUGCCCUUGAAUAAAUGGCUAAGGGUUAGAAGACAGGUCCCAGUCUUCCUAAUGAGGCAUUGAAAGUCUAGGUGGAAUAGAUGCUUGCUGGAGCCUGUGGAUAUUAUAAAAGAAAGAGCUCACUGCCUUAAAGUGGUCAGGAGAGGCAGGAGUGAGAGCCAAUGUGAAGGUGUGGGAGUUGGAAGGAACUUGGAACUCAACUUCUUUUGGCCCCUCAACUUGAGAUUCACAAAGAAAAAAAGCAAUGUCUCCUCGCUGAAAGCAAAAUGGAAGCUCCUCCUUGCACAGUGCAGCCCCUUCCUCACUGUAGGUUAUUCCAAGUGAGAAGAGUAAACAUGACUUCCAAAUGCCGUCUAACGAUAUAUGCAUAUCUAAAGGAGACAAGGAUGACUGAAUGCAUCUUCAUGUGUAGGAAGUGAAGUGUCUGUUGACAUUAAGUACUUCUUCAUGAGUGAGAGGAGGCCCAUGAUGGAGAUGACACCAGUACCUCCUUCUAGCACUCUGAAUUCCCAAUGUUUACUACUGCUGUCUCUGAAACUGCAGCAUCCUCACCAGGACCACACAGGGAACAAAGGCAAGACACCUGAAAUCCCUUUAGCCAUAUUCACAACACUUACUUCAUAGAUAAGAUGAUGUUUGAAAUAUGAGAAGGAUUUUUUUUUAAAAGAGCACUCUAUUCUCUUGGUAUCCUAGUAUGAGUGCCUGAAAGUGCACAUUGGCUAGAAGGUUUCAUGUGAGCAUCAGCCCCAGGGUCCAGAAGACACUCUUGGCAAGCCUGGAGAGUGAGUAUGUUGAACAGGCAAUGGAAGCAUCCAUGAAAGGCAGGCAACUGCGCACGACUUUCCAACAGAUGGCUGGUCAGUUGCACAGAGGGAAGGAGCCAUGGAUUCCAUGAUAAUGACACUUGUGCCAGCUUUUGUGUUUCCAGAAGUAUUGAAGAUAAAAGGGAACCACCACAUGUAGAGUAUGUGAAGUCUUACAGAGACGAGGUCCUAAGGUAUUUAUUUUGACAAAUCACGUUGCAAGUAAUGUGAAAGCAGUUUGAAGAAAAAAUGUCCCCAUCUAAUGCUGCAUUACGGCAUGCAUUUCUUUAGCCUGAAUCUGUCAGUGACAUGAAAAUACAUGUUUUGUUGGACACAUAAUAGGUUGAACACAUAAUAGGUUCUAACAUGGAUCUGCAUAAAGAAGAAAGAAGAAAGGCUAUAAAGGUAGAAGAAUAAAUGUAUAAAUAUUACAACAGGACACUGAGCUGGGUGGCUCUUUACCAUAGACCUUGCUCAUAUUUCUCACUACAGGCUUGCUCUGAGCCAACUUCCAAGUUCUCUCCUUCUCCUUCCAAACUUCCCUGUAUGUAAUCUUGCUCCUGGGCCACCUGACUGAUGUUUAAUGCCUGGAUAUUUGCUUCCACCUCUGCAUGACCAAGCCUUGGCCAAGUCACUGUUGCCUCAGUUGCAACAUCUGUCCCCUGCUGAGGGCUGUCGUAGCUUUCAUAGCUCACAGUCCAGCUUGAGUCUAACCUUUUCUGUGGUCAUUCAGAGUAGCAAGAAGCAUUGUGUUUUGGAUUUACUGCAGAACUCACACACUUAACUGUACACAGUCAGUUUUUAUAGCUCUCACUGCAUCCAGAUUGGACAGUGACCUUGGCUGAGACAUCCUUUACCUCUGUUUCAGAUUAAUUUAGGCGGCAUAUAAAAUCUCUGUGCACUGCCAGGGGAAAGUAAAGACUUCAUGAAGAAAUGGAGAAGAGCCGAAUAGUUGACCAUUGUUGCUGUAUAAAUCUUGGAUCCAGGGCUAAAAGGUGGCAGUAUAAAUGCAGAUGGUGCUGCUGCCAUAUUUUCCUGGCACACCUUUAAGCAGCACAUUUCAAGCCUUCAGGGUUGGAAUGGCAUUUCCAAAUAUAGACUCAAAAAAUCCUCAGAUGUUUGAUUCUAGAAUAGAGCUGGGAAUUCUGUCCUGCAAAUGCCUUCUGCAGCAUGGGAGCAAACCCACUCUUCUGUGUCUGUUGCUUCAAACUCUCUAUUUUCUGGAAACUGGAGAAAGAUGUGGGUCUACAUUUUGAAAUAUAUGCCUUGAACAAGAAUUAUGCACCUAUAGAAAACUUGUCAUACAUUGAAUAAACUCUCAGUUUACAGAAAUCUAUGGAAAUAUCAAAAUAAAACAUCAGAAGGAGCAGUAACUAUAGAGGUUAUUAACUAAGGGGAUAACCUGAAAAAUAAAGUUAUAUUUGCUAAAAACUGU
rnacentral:sRNA from 1 species